GAUGAAGAACGCAGCAAAAUGCGAUAAGUAAUGUGAAUUGCAGAAUUCAGUGAAUCAUCGAAUCUUUGAACGCACAUUGCGCCCGCCAGUAUUCUGGCGGGCAUGCCUGUUCGAGCGUCAUUUCAACCCUCAAGCUCAGCUUGGUGUUGGGACUCGCGGUAACCCGCGUUCCCCAAAUCGAUUGGCGGUCACGUCGAGCUUCCAUAGCGUAGUAAUCAUACACCUCGUUACUGGUAAUCGUCGCGGCCACGCCGUAAAACCCCAACUUCUGAAUGUUGACCUCGGAUCAGGUAGGAAUACCCGCUGAACUUAAGCAUACAAUAAGCGGAGGAA
rnacentral:misc_RNA from 1 species